GAUGAACGCUGGCGACGUGCCUAAUACAUGCAAGUCGAGCGAACAGACGAGGAGCUUGCUCCCCUGACGUUAGCGGCGGACGGGUGAGUAACACGUGGAUAACCUACCUAUAAGACUGGGAUAACUUCGGGAAACCGGAGCUAAUACCGGAUAAUAUAUUGAACCGCAUGGUUCAAUAGUGAAAGACGGUUUUGCUGUCACUUAUAGAUGGAUCCGCGCCGCAUUAGCUAGUUGGUAAGGUAACGGCUUACCAAGGCAACGAUGCGUAGCCGACCUGAGAGGGUGAUCGGCCACACUGGAACUGAGACACGGUCCAGACUCCUACGGGAGGCAGCAGUAGGGAAUCUUCCGCAAUGGGCGAAAGCCUGACGGAGCAACGCCGCGUGAGUGAUGAAGGUCUUCGGAUCGUAAAACUCUGUUAUUAGGGAAGAACAAAUGUGUAAGUAACUAUGCACGUCUUGACGGUACCUAAUCAGAAAGCCACGGCUAACUACGUG
rnacentral:rRNA from 1 species